GUGAUAAGUAUAUCUUAGAAGAUGUUUUGAAAUCUUAUCAACAUAUCUUCUCUCAGUGUUCAUUUUAUCAUCUACCAUGUUUAAACCCAGUUUUUACUGGGUUAAUAGAAUCAUUAACUGAGGUCACUCAUACCCAUAGAUAUACUCAACCUUGAUCCUUUUUUUAAAAGGUUUUAUUAAUUGCUGAAGGUGUAAGAAAUUAAGCUUCAUCUGGACUGACCCUAUGACAGAGCUUGAAAGGUGUUUUUGGAAGAGUUCCCUGAUUCAGUCUCUUAUUUGUCUCACUUUCAAAAAGCAGACUACAGAGGAAAACUGCUAACUUUCUGGUUGCUCAGAUUCUGAAAAAAUAGCACUUUCCUGUAAUUAAAUUGUAAGGAGUUAAUUGUAAUUAAAUUGCACAGCAUAUGAGAAAAUCUGU
rnacentral:lncRNA from 1 species